rnacentral:rRNA from 1 species
GACGAACGCUGGCGGCGUGCCUAAUACAUGCAAGUAGAACGCUGAAGAGAGGAGCUUACUCUUCUUGGAUGAGUUGCGAACGGGUGAGUAACGCGUAGGUAACCUGCCUUGUAGCGGGGGAUAACUAUUGGAAACGAUAGCUAAUACCGCAUAACAAUGGAUGACACAUGUCAUUUAUUUGAAAGGGGCAAUUGCUCCACUACAAGAUGGACCUGCGUUGUAUUAGCUAGUAGGUGAGGUAAUGGCUCACCUAGGCGACGAUACAUAGCCGACCUGAGAGGGUGAUCGGCCACACUGGGACUGAGACACGGCCCAGACUCCUACGGGAGGCAGCAGUAGGGAAUCUUCGGCAAUGGGGGCAACCCUGACCGAGCAACGCCGCGUGAGUGAAGAAGGUUUUCGGAUCGUAAAGCUCUGUUGUAAGUCAAGAACGGGUGUGAGAGUGGAAAGUUCACACUGUGACGGUAGCUUACCAGAAAGGGGCGGCUAACUACGUG